CCUUGUUCUUUUUUUUUCUUUCUUUUCUUUCUGAGCGUUCGGUGUCACUGAUAUUGUAGUACUUCCAGAUGUGUAUUGGAUACAUAAAUGACACAGGCAAUUAAAAUAAACUAAGAUCUGCUAGAAGAAUGAGAACUACUUGCAACACAGAGUUUUUCCUGAAAUAGCCCAACCAAUGUAGGCUGUUUCUAUAAGCUGUGUACCCUGAAGAGACUGUAGACCUUCACAGAAACGAUAAAGGGUAUGGCUCCUUACGCACUGUGCUGUCACUUUCUUCCUUUUAUAAGAGAUCAUCAGUGAUGACAGAAUACCCCUCCUGUGGUUGGCACUACCACUAUUUCUUUUCCUUAUUAGAGAUGACUGGAUCCAAUCUCAAAUCACUUGAAGUAUCUUAAUUGGUAGAAAGACCACGAUCAUUCCUUAUACAGAUAUUACAUAUUCAUUGCUUGGUCAUUUGAAUCAAGACAACAAUGUCUUUAUCCACUGUACUGGCUGAUUUGCUGUGUCAACUUGACACAAGUUGGAGUUAUCACAGAGAAAGGAGCCUCCCUUGAGGAAAUGCCUCCAUGAGAUGUAAGGCAUUUUCUCAAUUAGUGAUCAAGGGUGGAAGGACCCAUUGGUAAAAGUGCAGCCUUAGUGGCAGUGGAAGGUCCAUGACUGAUGGGGUUAUGCAGAGAAUUUGAGGCUUAGCACCAUGAAAAGUGCCUAUGAGAAGCUGUUUUGGAAAGUGCAGUCCAGUUGCAGCAGAAGACAGCAGUGUUUUGGAGAUGCUAGUACCAUGAAAUGACCACCAAGAACAGCAGAAACAAUGGACUACAGGCAGCUGGAACCUAGAAGACAAGAUGUGUGCUACAAAGGGCCGAGUUGGAGAAGUGACCCAAGCCCUUGAAGGAGCCCAGAAGAUCGUGAGUGGAUCCCAAACAUUGGAUAGUUAGAAUUUGAUUUUGAUUGUGACUGUGCCCUGAUAUUUUUCCCUUUUGAAGUAAGAAAGUACUUUAAUGGAGCCCACAGUUAAGAGGCUUUGAAUUGUAAAAAGAUUUGAAUUUCAAAAGAGACUGGAUACUUUAAAGGGAUUAAAAUUUUAAUAUGUAAGAAUUUGUAAAGAAUGUGGGAUUUUUAAAGUUACUUAUAUCUUGGGGAUGAAAAAGAAAGUAAGGGUUGAGGCUUAAUAUUGAUGUGUUUAUGUAUGAAAUUGACAAGGGGUCUGUUGUACUGGUUGGUUAUGUGUGUCAACUUGACACAAGCUGGAGUUAUCACAGAGAAAGGAGCUUCCCUUGAGGAAAUGCCUCCAUGAGAUCCAGCUGUAAAGCAUUUUCUCAAUUAGUGAUCAAGGGUGGGAAAGCCCAUUGUGGGUGGUGCCAUCCCUGAACUGGUAGUUCUGGGUUCUGUAAGAAAGCAAGCUGAGCAAGCCAGGGGAAG
rnacentral:lncRNA from 1 species